CUUAGUGUCCACAUUUAUACAACAAGGGCAUUUGCAGCUUCACCAUUUCAGAGACUCCAUUCCUGAGCUAGCUGGGUGGCCCUGGGGAUGCCCUUGACCUAUGAAAUGGGAUAUGCCCAGACUAAUGGCGAGGGAGGAAAAAAAAAAGGUAUACAUUUCUGAAAGUACUUUAGAAACUGUAAUAUUUGGGGCACUUGGGUGGCUCAGUUGGUUGAGCAUCACACUCUUGAUUUCAGCUCAGGUCAUGAUCCCAGGGUUGUGGCAUCGAGCCCUGUGUCAGGCUCCAUACUGAGUGUGGAGCCUGCUUAGGAUUCUUUCCCUCCCUCUGCCCCUCUCCCCCCAAGCCCGCUUGCGUGCUCUCUCUCUCUCUCUCUCUCUGUCUCUCUGUCUCUCUGUCUCUCUCUCUCUCAACAAAACAAAAGAAAGAAAAAAGAAAGAAACUGUAAUGUUUACGGAUGCUGGAGACAUGGAGGGAGGGUGGAACCUAUGUCCCCAUAAAAAAGGUGUCUUAAAAGUCACUCACGCACCAUCAAAACACUCAGGUGGUUGGAAACCUGCUCAGUAGGUGUCUGUGUGCUAAGUGCUAAGGUGUUUCAGGGAUCACCUUGGCGGGCUUCAGGGCAUUUCCAUUCCAAUCACUGCUCAUUGGAAGAAAGCCCUUCCCCCUGCGUGGUAAAAUGUAGAGUAGAUCCCCAACAUGCAAAUCUUGAAAUUGACAGAAAUUAACUGGACUGAAGUUGGGAAUAUAGUAGGAGCUUAAGAAAAUGACUUGGAAGUGCUCACUAUAAAUAGAGUUUUGGAAGAAAAAUUAAUUUUUCAAGCUUGUCUGGGACUCACAAAGUAGAGAUGCUGGGGCUACUGUAGUGUGAUGGAUAGCAGUCUCUUCUUUGUCCCACCCCCACCCCCGACCACUGCUCAAAGUGAGCAGUUUGCACACACCUUAAAGAUUCAAAGUCGUUUUUAAAAGCUCUGAAAUCCAGGUGUCAACCAGAGAGUUGGAGGAAUUUGAGGGCUAUACAGUGAACCAGGAAAAAAGGCAACAGAGGAAGAAGAAUAGAGAGAGCAACUCAGGGGAGGGGAGUUGGAGAGGGGAGAGAAGAGAAGGAAUGCCCACGUUUCCUGGUGAUUUUAAUUUUCACAUCACAAAGUGCCACCCACCUGUCAACCAAGACACUUCCCUGUGCCACCUACUGUGACCACUGGGAGGGAAGAACGUGGAACUCAAUCCUUCCCACCCAGCCUGAUCUGCCUACUGCUGUUAGACCACAAAGGAAGGAAGAGCCUCCAAAAGUUGCCAAGGUUCUCUCUCUCUGAGGUAAAUGGCCAAUUUCCACAGCCACUGGAGUGAGAACGCUGACCCCAACUCCCCUACUGGACUUACACCUCAGUGCCACAGGAGCCUGGAGUCAGACCGUAGCCACCUUGGGUUGGCAGGGACACCCAGGGUUCAGUGAAGGAGGCAGUGCCAGAAUCCAGAAGUCACCAGUCCAGUCUCAGUCAGUGAUGAACUGAUUCUCCGAACUCUUUGGGCCAAGGACAAGCCAUGGCCUCCAUGCUUCUAGUCCCUUCCUUGAAGCGAUCGGGUAAAUCACAUGAUGAGCCUCAAGCAAGGGACUUUAAGCUGGUGGCUUCCAGCAGCUUCCUGCUCCUGAACCACCACUCUCUCUCUCUGAAGUCCUUCCAUCGUCAUUCACCCCCAACCCGUGCAGGCCCUAGGGAGGCUCUGACUCUGUUUGCGUGGUGAGCACCGGCCUCUGUGCCAGCUUCGUCACUAGCCAACUGUUUUGGUUUCCUGUGGCUGCCAUAACGAACUACCACCAACUCAGUGGCUUCCAACAACAGAAAUUUACUCUCAUAUAGUUCUGGAGGGUGGAACCCCACACUUGGUCAGCUGGGCUGGCCGCUCCUGUAGUCCGUGAGGAGAGAAUCCGUUUCCUUGCCCUUUCCAGCUUCUGCUGGCUACCUGCACUCCUUGGCUCAUGGCCCUUCCUCCAUCUUCAAGGUGUGUCCCUCUGGUCUCUGCUUCCAGCAUCACGUGGUCUUUCCCUCUUCUGUCAUGUCAAACCUCCUCUGCCUUCCUCUGAUCAGGGAUGCUUGUGAUGGCACUUAGGACCCAUGCAGAUAGUCUGGGAUGACCUCUCCUUCUCGAGAUGCUUAAUCACAUCUGCAGUGUCCCUUUCACUGUGUCAUAUUUAUAGGUUUCAGAGAUUAGGACGCAGACAUUUUGAGAGGCCAGAAUUCUGCCUACCACACCAGGUAGAGGUCUCUGGGCAACUGAGUCACCUCACCUUUCUGAACCUUGCUUGUUUGCUGACCUCUUGCUUCCAGGAAGACAGUGGAUGUCACGGCACAUUACACACUGUGAAGUGAGGACCAGCACAAGUGCUGAGGCUGGUUCUUGUCCCUUCCGAUGAAGCUGAGGGCCCCUCAGUUCAGUCACGUGUGGCCUUCCCCAGCCUAAGGCAAUUUGGCGCCGGUUACAGACCCUGAGUUGGUAGGUAGACACAGUCAUGUUUGUGGCCUGACCCCAGUGCAGGAUGUCCUUGGAACCACAGUAGAGGGGACGGCCAUCUUGCCAGCGCAACCCAAGGAAAAGCCCCCAGUAGUGUGCUGGAACGAAUUGGAGGUCAACCAAUCACCGAGUGACAGCACGACCUGACGCGAAAAAGGCCCACCCGGACCUAAACCCGGAACCGCUGCAGCUUAAAAACCCCAACCCACCACACCCGGGUGCGACUUCCCUGACUCCUCUCUCUCUCUCCCUGAGUCAUGGAACCUCGCCGGAGACCCUUGUUCCCAAUAAAGCCUUUGACUGCUAAAA